CCCGCUGCGAUCAUGCUUAUUGUGG
rnacentral:sRNA from 1 species